rnacentral:tRNA from 1 species
GGGGCCGUAGUCUAGCCAGGUAUGACGACAACUGAUGACAUUAGUCGUUAAGGGCUCCAGAAGAAUAUUAUGGGUUUGCGGACCAAAUUAAUGGGAUGAAGAACUUUAGGAGCGUGUGAAGAAACCCGUAGGUCAAGGGUUCAACUCCCUUCGGCCCCA